GACGAACGCUGGCGGCGUGCUUAACACAUGCAAGUCGAACGGGAAGGCCCUGCUUUUGUGGGGUGCUCGAGUGGCGACCGGGUGAGUAACACUUGAGUAACCUGCCAUUGACUUUGGGAUAACUUCAUGACACUUGGGCUAAUACCGGAUAGGAGCUCCUGCUGCAUGGUGGGGGUUGGAAAGUUUCGGCGGUUGGGGAUGGACUCGCGGCUUAUAAGCUUGUUGGUGGGGUAGUGGCUUACCAAGGCUUUGACGGGUAGCCGGCCUGGGAGGGUGACCGGCUACACUGGGACUGGGAUGCGGCCCAGACUCGUACGGGAGGCAGCAGAGGGGAAGAGUGCACAAUGGGCGGAAGCAUGAUGCAGCAACGCCGCGUGCGGGAUGACGGGCUGCGGGUUGUAAUCCGCUUUCGCCUGACACGAAGCGUGAGUGACGGUAAUGGGUAAAGAAGCACCGGCUAACUACGUG
rnacentral:rRNA from 1 species